ACGUAUCGAUGAAGAACGCAGCCAGCUGCGAUAAGUAGUGUGAAUUGCAGAAUUCAGUGAAUCAUUGAAUCUUUGAACGCAAAUGGCGCUCUUGGGUUCUCCCAGGAGCAUGUCUGUCUGAGUGUCGGAUAUCACACGA
rnacentral:rRNA from 1 species